UACAGAGGUCUCAAGCGUUGUUCGGAUUCAUUGGGCGUAAAGGGUGCGUAGGCGGCGCGGUAAGUCGGGUGUGAAAUCUCGGAGCUUAACUCCGAAACUGCAUUCGAUACUGCGGUGCUUGAGGACUGGAGAGGAGACUGGAAUUCAUGGUGUAGCAGUGAAAUGCGUAGAGAUCAUGAGGAAGACCAGUGGCGAAGGCGGGUCUCUGGACAGUUCCUGACACAGAGGCACGAAGGCCAGGGGAGCAAACGGG
rnacentral:rRNA from 1 species